AUUGAACGCUGGCGGCAGGCUUAACACAUGCAAGUCGAGCGGGGUGAUGGUGCUUGCACUAUCACUUAGCGGCGGACGGGUGAGUAAUGCUUAGGAAUCUGCCUAUUAGUGGGGGACAACAUCUCGAAAGGGAUGCUAAUACCGCAUACGUCCUACGGGAGAAAGCAGGGGAUCACUUGUGACCUUGCGCUAAUAGAUGAGCCUAAGUCGGAUUAGCUAGUUGGUGGGGUAAAGGCCUACCAAGGCGGCGAUCUGUAGCGGGUCUGAGAGGAUGAUCCGCCACACUGGGACUGAGACACGGCCCAGAGUCCUACGGGAGGCAGCAGUGGGGAAUAUUGGACAAUGGGGGGAACCCUGAUCCAGCCAUGCCGCGUGUGUGAAGAAGGCCUUAUGGUUGUAAAGCACUUUAAGCGAGGAGGAGGCUCUUUUGGUUAAUACCCAAGAUGAGUGGACGUUACUCGCAGAAUAAGCACCGGCUAACUCUGUGCCAGCAGCCGCAGUAA
rnacentral:rRNA from 1 species